rnacentral:rRNA from 1 species
AUUGAACGCUGGCGGAAUGCUUUACACAUGCAAGUCGAACGGUAGAGGGGGCGACCCCUCGAGAGUGGCGAACGGGUGAGUAAUAUAUCGGAACGUGCCCAGUCGUGGGGGAUAACGUAGCGAAAGGUACGCUAAUACCGCAUACGAUCUAAGGAUGAAAGCGGGGGAUCGCAAGACCUCGCGUGAUUGGAGCGGCCGAUAUCAGAUUAGGUAGUUGGUGGGGUAAAGGCUCACCAAGCUAACGAUCUGUAGCUGGUCUGAGAGGACGACCAGCCACACUGGAACUGAGACACGGUCCAGACUCCUACGGGAGGCAGCAGUGGGGAAUUUUGGACAAUGGACGCAAGUCUGAUCCAGCCAUUCCGCGUGCAGGAUGAAGGCCCUCGGGUUGUAAACUGCUUUUGUACGGAACGAAAAGGUCUCUCUUAAUACGGGGGACUCAUGACGGUACCGUAAGAAUAAGCACCGGCUAACUACGUGCCAGCAGCCGCGGUAA